rnacentral:rRNA from 1 species
UACGUAGGAGACAAGCGUUGUCCGGAAUUACUGGGUGUAAAGCGCGUGUAGGCGGUAGGCCAAGUCUGCUGUGAAAUCGCCCGGCUCAACUGGGCGCGGUCGGUGGAAACUGGUCAACUGGAGGACGGUAGAGGCGAGUGGAAUUCCCGGUGUAGCGGUGAAAUGCGUAGAGAUCAGGAAGAACACCGGUGGCGAAGGCGCUCUGCUAGGCCGCAACUGACACUGAGGGACGAAAGCUAGGGGAGCGAAUGGG